rnacentral:piRNA from 1 species
UUUCAAGUUCAUAUUUUAACGAUUCUACAA